GCAGUCGUGGCCUAAUGGUUAGAGAGUCGGACUUGUAACCCGAAGGUGAACCUGACUCGUGGGUUCGAGUCUCAGGUCCGGCA